GACGAACGCUGGCGGCGUGCUUAACACAUGCAAGUCGAACGGAAAGGCCCUGCUUUUGUGGGGUGCUCGAGUGGCGAACGGGUGAGUAACACGUGAGUAACCUGCCCUUGACUUUGGGAUAACUUCAGGAAACUGGGGCUAAUACCGGAUAGGAGCUCCUGCUGCACGGUGGGGGUUGGAAAGUUUCGGCGGUUGGGGAUGGACUCGCGGCUUAUCAGCUUGUUGGUGGGGUAGUGGCUUACCAAGGCUUUGACGGGUAGCCGGCCUGAGAGGGUGACCGGCCACAUUGGGACUGAGAUACGGCACAGACUCCUACGGGAGGCAGCGGUGGGGAAUAUUGCACAAUGGGCGGAAGCCUGAUGCAGCAACGCCGCGUGCGGGAUGACGGCCUUCGGGUUGUAAACCGCUUUCGCCUGUGACGAAGCGUGAGUGACGGUAAUGGGUAAAGAAGCACCGGCUAACUACGUG
rnacentral:rRNA from 1 species